AUUGAACGCUGGCGGCAGGCUUAACACAUGCAAGUCGAGCGGGGUGAUGGUGCUUGCACUAUCACUUAGCGGCGGACGGGUGAGUAAUGCUUAGGAAUCUGCCUAUUAGUGGGGGACAACAUCUCGAAAGGGAUGCUAAUACCGCAUACGUCCUACGGGAGAAAGCAGGGGAUCACUUGUGACCUUGCGCUAACAGAUGAGCCUAAGUCGGAUUAGCUAGUUGGUGGGGUAAAGGCCUACCAAGGCGGCGAUCUGUAGCGGGUCUGAGAGGAUGAUCCGCCACACUGGGACUGAGACACGGCCCAGACUCCUACGGGAGGCAGCAGUGGGGAAUAUUGGACAAUGGGGGGAACCCUGAUCCAGCCAUGCCGCGUGUGUGAAGAAGGCCUUAUGGUUGUAAAGCACUUUAAGCGAGGAGGAGGCUCUUUUGGUUAAUACCCAAGAUGAGUGGACGUUACUCGCAGAAUAAGCACCGGCUAACUCUGUGCCAGCAGCCGCGGUAA
rnacentral:rRNA from 1 species